UACAGGGAGGUGCAGCUAGUAGUGAAUUACUGGGCGUAAAGCGUGCGUAGACGGUUACAUAAGUCAGAUGUGAAAGCCCCGGGCUCAACCUGGGAAUUGCAUUUGAGACUGUGUAGCUAGGGUGCGGAAGAGGGAAGCGGAAUUUCCGGUGUAGCGGUGAAAUGCGUAGAUAUCGGAAGGAACACCAGUGGCGAAAGCGGCUUCCUGGUCCAGCACCGACGUCAGGCACGAAAGCGUGGGGAGCAAACAGG
rnacentral:rRNA from 1 species